rnacentral:misc_RNA from 1 species
AAUGCGAUAAGUAAUGUGAAUUGCAGAAUUCAGUGAAUCAUCGAAUCUUUGAACGCACAUUGCGCCCCCUGGUAUUCCGGGGGGCAUGCCUGUUCGAGCGUCAUUUCACCACUCAAGCCUCGCUUGGUAUUGGGCGACGCGGUCCGCCGCGCGCCUCAAAUCGACCGGCUGGGUCUUCCGUCCCCUCAGCGUUGUGGAAACUAUUCGCUAAAGGGUGCCGCGGGAGGUCACGCCGCAAAACAACCCCAUUUCUAAGGUUGACCUCGGAUCAGGUAGGGAUACCCGCUGAACUUAAGC